AUCCAGCUGACGAGUCUCAACUAGGACGAAGUGACGCGCUUCAAACUGGAU
rnacentral:hammerhead_ribozyme from 1 species